rnacentral:rRNA from 1 species
AUGUCCGACGCGGUGGCCAGAAUCAUAAAUCUGUUAUCUAUCCAUCUCCGGCUCGCCGACGCACGGCCAGGCUUCCCGUCCGUCCGCGAUGUCUUGAGCAACGUAGAGAUUGGGGCCGACGGUGGGGUUGGCAGCAGCGCAGGAAGAACCGCGGCCAUCUUGAUCUUGCCCUGUCAAGAACAGAGACCAAAGACCAAGGAAGCAGAAAAGGAGACGAAAAGCACGAACCCUAAUUCGAUCGGAUCGACGGAGGAAGAAGAAGGCGACUUACUCGAUUUGAUCUUCGUGUUCCGCCCAACGGAGCGGAAGGCGAGAGCUUCGAAACGAAAGGGAAAGCCGGGGUAG